UUGUGGAGGUUUUUAAUCGCUGUUUCAGUGGGCCUACAAAACGCAUAGUGCGAGAGGAAGGCGUUGCUUGCAGGAAGGCUCGGUGAACCGAGGGACACUCGGCUGUGGCCUCGCUAUGAUGAAGCCUGUGUUGGAAUGAUGGGGAGGACUGAUGCGAUAUUACUGCUCAAGACAACCUCGGGGAAGAAACGUGCCAAGGAUGGAUGAGGAUUGAGGACCUACAGAGCAAGGCAGUUGAACCAUGGCUAUACAGUAGGUGGUGGUACAGAAGUGCAGACGCUAACAUGGUGCAGUUUUAACUGUCCGGACCAGCUCUUGUUAUACGGUCCAGAAUGUGGAGGCCUGUUACAUGAAGGUGUUCCUAGUCAGCUGGACUGAUGCCCAGCACAGGCUUCAUGCAAAGGUGGACAAGUUGGCAUGUUGUCCUGACACUUUGAAGGGCUCUUUAAGGCAGCAAGUAUGGCGGCAUAUAACCCCUCAUGAGGUGAGGAUUGAAAACUUCCCUGUGAGGUGGCUGGCCACUCCAGAAUACAUGAUGAUCACCCCAGCUUGAACUCUCUCACUGAUCACUUGAUGAUAAUUAAAGAUCUGAUAUUCUGUUGUGUUUUCCAAGUACCAUUUAAAUUGAGGUCUGCACAUAAGACUGAAAGUGUUCUUUUGUUUCAGGCACCUGAAUAGAAGCUCUGGAAUAAGAAAGUAAACAAUCAUAACAAUCAUAAAUAAAGACAUCUUGUAAACUUG